GUGCCAGCAGCCGCGGUAAUACGUAGGAGGCGAGCGUUGUCCGGAUUUACUGGGCGUAAAGCGCGCGCAGGCGGCACCCUAAGUACGAUGUGAAAUCUCCCUGCUCAACGGGGAGGGUGCAUUGUAAACUGAGGAGCUAGAGGACGGUAGAGGGGGGUAGAAUUGCUGGUGUAGCGGUGAAAUGCGUAGAGAUCAGCAGGAAUACCCGUGGCGAAGGCGGCCCCCUGGGCCGAACCUGACGCUGAGGCGCGAAGGCUAGGGGAGCGAACGGGAUUAGAUACCCCCGUAGUCC
rnacentral:rRNA from 1 species